rnacentral:rRNA from 1 species
CCUACGGGAGGCAGCAGUGGGGAAUAUUGGGCAAUGGGCGCAAGCCUGACCCAGCAACGCCGCGUGAAGGAAGAAGGCUUUCGGGUUGUAAACUUCUUUUCUCAGGGACGAAGCAAGUGACGGUACCUGAUGAAUAAGCCACGGCUAACUACUGGCCAGGAGCCGCGGUAAUCCGGCGGUGGCAAGCGUUAUCCGGAUUUAAUGGGUGUAAAGGGCGUGUAGGCGGGACUGCAAGUCAGAUGUGAAAACCAUGGGCUCAACCUAGGGACUGCAUUUGAAACUGUAGUUCGUGAGUACAGUAGAGGCAGGCGGAAUGCAUAGUGUAGCGGUGAAAUGCGUAGAGAUCAUAAGGAACACCAGUGGCGAAGGCGGUCUGCUGGACAGCAACUGACGCUGAGGCGCGAAAGCGUGGGGAGCAAACAGGAUUAGAUACCCCUGUAGUC